rnacentral:lncRNA from 1 species
CCAAUGACCACUUGUUUUGCGCAUCUAGUUCCCAUUUGUUAUGCAGGAGUUUCGGGCGGCUGAGGACGGUGGGCGGAGCCGUUGUCAGCAUACUCUGGUUUCUCUUCAGAUCGUAUAAAUCUUUCGCCUUUUACUAAAGAUUUCCGUGGAGAGGAACAAUUCUGAGUCUUAACCUAAUUUUUUGAUGUCCCAUUUCUGUGGGACUACUGUUGCUUGUUCAAAAACAGAAUAUAGUUUUUCUUUUUAAGUUUCUCGCUUUGUGUUUCAAAGCCCGUUAUCACAUGCCUUGUCUCCAGGUCCCACUGAAGUCUUCUGAGCAAAUUUGUGGAGUAACUAAAAAGCAAACAUGUUGGGGAAGAGCUGAGCUCUGGCGUUCUCACAGACAGGAUUGGGAGUUGUUUCACCAGGUAAGCUUAUCUAUCAUGCACAAAUCUUCAUUUUUACCCACAACUCUGUAAAACCUGAAGGUAGCAUGUGCUUAGGACCUUUGUACUGGGGAGGCAAAGGCCACAGGACCAAAACUCAAAAUUGUCGCUGGCUAUAUUAAGGUUCCAAGUCAGAUGAGGCUAAAUGAGACUGUCUUAAAACAAAAAAAUUGGUCUCCAGAUUUGGGGAAAAACCCUAACCAAAUCCGAAAAGAAAACUUUAGAUUUCCUUCCUUUGAUCCUAUCCCACUUUGGGAAAUUCUUUUUUCACUUUUGCUUUAUCUAUGCUAACAAGAACAAAAAAUCCCUGGCGGUUCAUACUGGUUCGAACCUUUAAUCCCAGCAUUCGGGCGGCAGAAACAGACAGAUAUCUGAGUUCCGGACUGGCCUGGGUUACACACUGAGAUCCUGGCCUGAAAAAAACAAAACAUCAACAAAGUCUCCUAGAGAAACAAUAGCAAAGAAAAACAAUAAAAUCUAAAGACCACAUAUAUUCUAAACCAAAACUAACAAAAAAUAGUCCAGGAGGUGGUGAUGCUUGUCUUUAAUCCCAGCAUUUGGGAGGCAGAGGCAGGUGGAUCUUUGUGGCUUCAAGGCCAGCAUGGUCUAUAUAAUCAGUUCCAGGACAGCCAGGGGUACACAGAGAAACCCUCUCUUGAAAAACCAACAUUCCACCAGGUGGGGGUAGAGUGGAGUGCUGCAAGCCUUCAUUUAUUUAUUUUUUAAUUAUUUAUAUUUUAUGUCCAUUGUUUGGCCUGCAUGUGUGUCUGUGUGAGGGUGUCAGUUCCUCAAAAUUGAACUCAGGUCUUCGGGAAGACCAACCAAUAUGUUAACUACUGAGCCAUCUCUCCAGUUGGUGCAUCCCUUUAAUCCCAGCACUCCAAAGACAGAGGCAGGAGGCAAAGGCAGACAGAUCUCUGUGAGUUCAAGGCCAACCUGAUAUACAGAGUGAGUUCCAACCAAACAACCAACCAAAAACCCCAAAGAAAAAAUGAACAACAGGGAGAGUAGGAGAACCCAAACUAAAUCAAAAUGAAAACACAAAACUGAGUUAGCUGGGCUGGCUAGUCUUAUUCCAGUCAUUGAUGACUAGAGGAUAGAAGUCCAAAGACAUCCUGAACUAUAGAGCAGUUCAAGGGCAGCCUAGGUAACUUAAGGAGAUAUUGUUUCCACAAUUAAAAAAUAGAAACAACUGGGAAAUUGAUGGAAGGUCACAUAGUGGGUGUGAGGCUCGAGGCUCCAUCCUUAGCACUGCAAGGCAAAACCUGAAAGAGGCUGGGAGAAAGCAGAAACAGGAGUGGUGAAGGCUCGCCCAGGGUAUAAACCAUGGGGUAAAGGGGUGAGAUGUUGGGUUCUAGAGAUACUUGGAUGGUAGUCAGUGGACCAUAGACAUGGGGACAAAGAAGAGGCUUUGGGGACACUAUGGUAUUGAGUUACAGGAAGGAAGAGUGACUGGCCAUCACUGGAACUGGGGAAGGUGGCCCAGCACUGGAGGGUUUUUUGUUUGUUUGUUUGUUUGUUUUUGUUUUUUUUUUUUUUGGUUUCUUGAGACAAGGUUUCUCUGUGUAGCUCCUGGAACUCACUUUGUACACAAGGCUGGACUUGUACUAACAGACAUCCUCAUGCCUCUGCCUACUGAGUGCUGGGAUUAAAGGCAUUUGCCACCACAGGCUAGCUGGAGAUGUUUUAUUAGACACAAGGAGAUGCUAAUGUCUGGCUGAAAUACAAGCGAUUGAAGAAAC